UACGUAGGGGGCAAGCGUUAUCCGGAUUUACCGGGUGUAAAGGGAGCGUAGACGGUGAGGCAAGUCUGAAGUGAAAUGCAUGGGCUCAACCCAUGAACCGCUUUGGAAACUGUCUGACUAGAGUGCAGGAGAGGUAAGUGGAAUUCCUAGUGUAGCGGUGAAAUGCGUAGAUAUUAGGAGGAACACCGGUGGCGAAGGCGGCUUACUGGACUGUAACUGACGUUGAGGCUCGAAAGCGUGGGGAGCAAAC
rnacentral:rRNA from 1 species